GAUGAACGCUGGCGGCGUGCCUAAUACAUGCAAGUCGAACGCACAGCGAAAGGUGCUUGCAGCUUUCAAGUGAGUGGCGAACGGGUGAGUAACACGUGGACAACCUGCCUCAAGGCUGGGGAUAACAUUUGGAAACAGAUGCUAAUACCGAAUAAAACUUAGUGUCGCAUGACACAAAGUUAAAAGGCGCUUCGGCGUCACCUAGAGAUGGAUCCGCGGUGCAUUAGUUAGUUGGUGGGGUAAAGGCCUACCAAGACAAUGAUGCAUAGCCGAGUUGAGAGACUGAUCGGCCACAUUGGGACUGAGACACGGCCCAAACUCCUACGGGAGGCUGCAGUAGGGAAUCUUCCACAAUGGGCGAAAGCCUGAUGGAGCAACGCCGCGUGUGUGAUGAAGGCUUUCGGGUCGUAAAGCACUGUUGUAUGGGAAGAACAGCUAGAAUAGGAAAUGAUUUUAGUUUGACGGUACCAUACCAGAAAGGGACGGCUAAAUACGUG
rnacentral:rRNA from 1 species